UUGUCCCUUAUAACAUACCCAUUUCCAAAAUGCUUGUGCUCUGAUUAAAUUGUCAGGGUUAAAUUUAAUAUAACUUUAAACAAACGAAUUAAUCUUCACCGCUGUGGAAAUGGAUGUGGAUUCUAAAUAACCUUUCAUUGGUAGGUUUAUACACUUUUACAGUGGAAGAGUGUAAGGUUUGACAUAUUGUCUGUAGACCAUUCCAUUGUUCAAGUUUUUUUUUACAUACUUUUCAGGUGUUGCUAAGUGUUCCACGAACAGCUUUAAAUAGACACCACAUCACUUUUGUGAAAAGACUGAUUUGCUGGUAUGUUUCUAGUUGAAGCUACAAGGAAGUUGGCAAAGGCAAACUGAAGGGCUGGACCUUAACUGCAGUCAUACAAUAAAAUGACGUCAAUGCACGAGGCAGAGCAUCGUGUCUUUAGUAAGACAUUCUUCUUUGAACAUAUGAAGAAUUAAUUAAACUGACAUCAGUGCAAUGCUAUUAACUGAAUGAUGCAAAGUGGAAUUCACAACAUAUAGGAAUGAUUUAAAACCCUAAACCAAAUGACAAUUUAAUAAGCUAUUUCCUGGGAGGUGGUUAUACACCACUUGCCAUGCUUCUGUGCCAUGCAAGUUUACAUUGCUUAAAAUACUGCUGUACUUCAGUCAUGCGUCACUUCUCAUGUGCGUAGUCAGUGGCAUGUCUCAAACAAUAUCCCUCUCUAAAUAAAGCACACGAAUAUGUCAAAAUCCCCUCAUAACAUUCUCUCAGCCAUUGUAUUUCUAUAUGACCCACCUAUUCACUAAAUAUAAAUCCUAACUAACUUUCUGAUUAUACUGCCUAUUAGAAUUUAUUAGCAGAAGCAGUACUGUAAUAAAAUAAAAUAAUUAAUUGUCACCUAGAAAUGUUUGUUUAAAAUAAAAAAAAUGCCUUGGUGUCUGCUGAUAAUUUUUUCAGGUCAAAAGGCAGGUGAGAAUAAUAGAAUGAAUGUUUAAUGGGUUUUCAGUGGAAAUCAGACUACAGAUUAAGAGCAUUGCUAGCCACAGCAGUGCUGACCUGAAGACUGUUGCUUUUAGACCAGGGUUCAUCUAUUACAAUCUUGGAAGACAUUUGCAUUGUUUAGUAUUUCAUCAUCUUUUUUUUAAGAACUAGAGCACUGGCGUGUGAACACUGACUAUGAAUGUUAAAAAAAAAAAAAAGUCCACCCUUGUACAUAGUAGUUGUUGCCAGAGCACGUUGCUUUUCUAAUCAUUUAGAAUAUAGUAACAAGGAAGUUGGCAACAAUAACUUAAAGGGUUGGACCUUACCUCCAGUGUUACAAUGAUACGUCAAUGCACGUAGGUAGAGCAGUGGUUGGGAUCUUUUACCAAACAUUUGGAUUUCAAGCUCUGAAGAAUUCACUUAAAUGAAGGAAGAAAAUGAAGGACGCAGGCUGCAGGUCGACAGGAGUGAUAAAUAAUCACAAAGAUUUUAUUGCAAAAUCAUUGGAGAGUUUUGUUGGCCAUGAGCACCAAACUCAUCUAAAGAACCAAAUACCUCGACCACAUAACCAUGUUCAUAGAGUGCGCUCGAAAGACGUGGAUGAAGUUUUUGGAAAAACAAACCCCUGACCUAAACAAGAAUGCUGUAUGACUGGAAUUCCUGAAACUCUGCAAUAGCGGUGUGCUUCACUGGCACAGUGACUUAAGCUUCUAGAAGAAACAGGCCAAAAAUGUCUUAAAUAUGUAAUGAAAUUAUAUAUAUACACAUCAUAAUGGGAGGAUACAGCUUUAUGGACAACUCAAAACAAUUGAUGUGUAGGCCACACUGGAUUUUACCUCCAUGGAACACUUAACAGCUUAUACACAUCGAGCAAACCAAGGAUUGUUGAUGCCUUUAGGGAACCUUUGGAAUGAUAUCAUGUUCCAGUUAAACUUUAAGGGACCUUUUGACAGAAAACAUCAACUGGGUGAAGUGGUACAAAACGAGGAGACUUAAUCACAGCACUUUUCGUUUUGCUGUAAACCUGCUGUAAAAUGUCUCCUGAGGAAGAAGAGCCAAUAACUUGUUGACUCUAAAUGAAAAAUAUGUAUCCAUGCACACCAUGUCAUUAGAACGGUUCUCAGUCACUGAUGAGAAACUUGUGUCAUGCAAUCACAAAUGCCUCCAAGUAACUAUAUACGUUAUAUGAGUGAGUAGCCAAAUAUAAUGAAUUACUGAGUGAUGCUUUUACAUUUAACAGGAUAAUAUAACCAAACAUGCGUUUUAGCAGUUUCUUAAACUAUGCCUUUGGCAUAAUAACCAGCACCGAUCUUUGGACAAUGUACUUUGGACAAGCCACGCAACUCUUAAAGGAUAACAUGACACGGCCUACAUCUGAGCAGUGCUGAGACAACGCCAAGUACCAUUGUGUACGUUUUAUGUACAGUGCUUAUUUUUAAUUCUAUUCAUGAAUUUUCUUUAUUAAUAUUUACAUUAGAAUUUAUUGUUAAUAUUAUAUAGAUUUUGGUUUUAAUCCCUUGGGAUUCUGUUGUUUCUACUGGACAAAUUGCAUUUUAGCAUUAAAUAUAUAUAAUAUAUUAGCAUACAGUAUAUGUAUGUGUCUUUAUACAUGCCUGUAAUUCAAUUAAUGUGAAGAAUAUGAGACAAAAUGAUUGUGCAGGGGACUAGUGGAAAUUAAAAAAAUAAAAUAAAAUCAUAUAAUAAAAAAAAUAUUGUUGCAUUGUAA